rnacentral:rRNA from 1 species
ACGUAGGAGGCGAGCGUUAUCCGGAUUUACUGGGCGUAAAGCGUGUGCAGGCGGUUUGGUUAGUUGGAUGUGAAAGCUCCUGGCUUAACUGGGAGAGGUCGUUCAAUACUGCCAGACUUGAGGAUGGGAGGGGGAGGGGGCAUUCCGAGUGAAGGGGGGAAAUGCGUAAAUCCUCGGAGCACCACCAGUAGAGAAAGCGUCCCACAGGGCCAUCUAUGACGGUGAGACCCGAUAGCUAAUGAAGCAAACGA